rnacentral:rRNA from 1 species
CCUACGGGAGGCAGCAGUGGGGAAUUUUGGACAAUGGGCGCAAGCCUGAUCCAGCCAUGCCGCGUGUGGGAAGAAGGCCUUCGGGUUGUAAACCACUUUUGUCAGGGAAGAAACGGUCUGAACUAAUACUUUGGACUAAUGACGGUACCUGAAGAAUAAGCACCGGCUAACUACGUGCCGGCAGCCGCGGUAAUACGUAGGGUGCAAGCGUUAAUCGGAAUUACUGGGCGUAAAGCGUGCGCAGGCGGCUUUGCAAGACAGAUGUGAAAUCCCCGGGCUCAACCUGGGAACUGCAUUUGUGACUGCAUGGCUAGAGUACGGUAGAGGGGGAUGGAAUUCCGCGUGUAGCAGUGAAAUGCGUAGAUAUGCGGAGGAACACCGAUGGCGAAGGCAAUCCCCUGGACCUGUACUGACGCUCAUGCACGAAAGCGUGGGGAGCAAACAGGAUUAGAUACCCUGGUAGUCCACGCCCUAAACGAUGUCAACUGGUUGUUGGGAGGGUUUCUUCUCAGUACGAAGCUAACGCGUGAAGUUGACCGCCUGGGGAGGACGGCGCGAGUAGUUAAGUUACGAAGAAGUUAGAGNGNGAGAGNGCGAGGACGACGACGAGGAGAGG